AGAUUGAACGCUGGCGGCAUGCCUUACACAUGCAAGUCGAACGGUAGAGUAGCAAUACUUGAGAGUGGCGAACGGGUGAGUAAUAUAUCGGAACGUGCCCAGUCGUGGGGGAUAACGUAGAGAAAUUUACGCUAAUACCGCAUACGAUCUAAGGAUGAAAGCGGGGGAUCGCAAGACCUCGCGCGAUUGGAGCGGCUGAUAUCAGAUUAGGUUGUUGGUGAGGUAAAAGCUCACCAAGCCGACGAUCUGUAGCUGGUUUGAGAGAACGACCAGCCACACUGGGACUGAGACACGGCCCAGACCUCCUACGGGAGCGAGCA
rnacentral:rRNA from 1 species